AUGAUAACAGAGAAAACCUUCUUCAAGAAGAAGAAGAACCAGAGGAAGAAUGAAUGACUAAAAAGCCGUCCUCUCUGCUAACCUGAAAAUCUCCUCAUAAGUUUGGGAUUUGCAACAUGAAUCCAAGUUGAUCCGUUCGACCUUCUUUUUAAAGUAGAUAACUGCUUUAAUGUACUACUACUUAUCAUGUUUGAGGUACAUAUACUAA
rnacentral:misc_RNA from 1 species